CGCUUUCCCCGUUGCUAGGAAACGAAGCAGGAAGUGGCUGCCUGAAAGCUGUGGGGCUGCGCCUGCGCAACUAUCAGCCUGUUUUUGAAGCCCAGUUUUCCACCCUGCCUCUGGCAGGCCGCUUCCCAGCCGAGCAAAAGGUUCUAGAAGGCAGGCAGAGGGGCGUUCCUUCCCUCUUGUGGUUCAAGGCAAUGGUGUCGUGAUGGGAAGGGAACUCCUGUGUGUUGCAUGGGUCUGAUUUCUCCCCCUUUCCAUGUUUUAUGGAGAUGCGGCUACCACUUGUUCCCGGAACCAAACAAGUGCAACCAGAUGCUCUCUAGGCCCCAAGGAAUAAGAAUGUGGGACUUUACAACAACUCUGGUUGAAUUAUAUAAAUUCUUGACUCUGACUCCUCCUUCCCUGUGUUUCUGAUCAAGGAGAUUUCCACUAAAAUCUACACAAAGCUAUUUGUUCUUCUUAUACAAUUCUGGCUAUGCACCUGGUCUGUUAUGUCAAUCAACCUUAAUGAAGGAAGGGGCUGCAUAUGCAUGGGGGUGAGUUCCCUCAUUUCUGGAGUCAGGGUGUCAAACUCGUUCAGUAGCUGACAGCCAUGAUUAGAGGCGAGCAGGACUCCAGCAUGAAAGGCCCUGGAAGGAAAGCCAACAGCGCAGAAAGAAAUGAGAAGUGGUCAAACUGACUUCCCACCAGCAGUCAAGUUUGACUUCGUGCAUAGGAAAUCAAUGAAGAGAAUAUGAGCCAUUUUCUCCUCAUCGACUUUUCAUUCUAAUUAUUCCUUGGAGGUAGCUUGGUUUAAUUUUUAUGCCUUUUCUUUGGGGUGGGAGUAUAAUGAAUAUCCAGGGCUGUGCUGUAUAAAAUGCCUUGGAGGAAUCUGACAUGCUCUCUACCCCAUCCUAGGCACUGGGCAUUCCUUCCACCAUCUCUGCUGCCUCCCAUCUCUGCCCCUUUCUGUUAACUCACACUAAGUGUUAAGUAAUCUUCAGUGCCAGUGAAAUUGUUAGGAACUAAAACUUGGAAGCACUUGGGAAAACGAAAAUGCUGCCAUAGUUCAUUCUUCCUAGUGCUCAACUGUCAAGAUGAGAAGGGUUUCUUCUGAGCAUGAGGGAUCUCUCUUGUUCUUGAAUGUUUCCCAUUUCUGGUUAGUCUGAUGGGAUCGAGGUAAUGUCAUGACCUUGAAUGUCCCCUUGGAAUUUUCUUUACCAUUCUAUGUAACUUUGGUACUCAGUUGGCAACCACUGAGUUGGGUGGCAGUGUCUAUAUCGUGUGCUCAUUUUCCUCAUGAGAUUUUUGCAUCAUUUGUCAACUUAGAAUUUAUAGUGCUCUCCAGCAGGGACUCUUAAGCUUUAUCCAGGUACAACCUCUUUUUACCUGAAAAGCCUUUUAAAACUUUAUUAUCUAUUUAAGGUAUAUGUGUGCUUUUCCUACAUGUAUAUCUAUGCACCAUGUGUGUGCACAGUGACCACAGAGGCCUGCAGAAGAUGACAUAGCCCCUGGAACUUGAAGGAGAUACAGUUGUGAACUGUCAUGGGGGUGCUAAAAAUGAACCCAGGUCCUCUGCAAGAGCAACCAGUGCUCUUAACCUUUGAGACACCUCUCUAACCCUCCCUGGAAAAACUAUAUGUGGCCCUAUGUGUAUAAAAGUAGGUAUAGGAACCAAGCAUUUAUUGAUAACAAAUCAUAAGUAAUUUACUUGAAUACAAUCAUUUGAUCUACAAAUAAUCUUACCAUUCACUAAAGAGGAAAACAGUCUGCAUGCUAAUGAACAGGAGGUGCUUAUCUGUCUAACCCUAACCCAGUCCAAAGAUACCAUGGUACUGAUGUGCUGAGGGAUGAUGGUAGGAAAAAAACCUUUGUUUUCUGUAAUUAAACAGUAGUAUGUGGAUGGAUGGACAACUUUCUGUAAAAAAACUGCAACUCUUAGCAUUAGUCUUAAUUUGAGCAAGGGUGCUUCAGACACCAUUUCUUGGCUUUGCAUGGUGUGAGGGCAUGUGCAAUGCUGAGUGCACUUGAUGCAUGUUCAGAGCCAAAGCUGCUGUUAGUUUUCCAAAUGCAGCUCCAUCAAGAACCGCAAAGCACCUCAGAUUCACAGUGUGCUUGAUUUUGAAUUAAUUCUUUUGGUCCUUGCAUAAUUAGGAGCACUUUUCUGUUUGUUGCCAAAUUUGUUAUGAGUUUUGUACUUCGGUAUCUAGUUGAGAAUUCCUGUCCCUAUUACCCAAUGUCUCAAAAAGGUUUCAUUCAUUUUCCCAAGAAUAUUAAAUGAAUAGGAUGCUGUUGUUGUGGCUUGAUAUUUUCUCCACAGCUCAUAUGCUCCCAGCUUGAUCUAGGUUAGGAGAGUUUUGCUCUUAUAUGUAGAUUAAUAUCACUGAAAAACUGCACCUACUAUCAUGGAACUGGAUUGUUAAUUUUGCUGAAAUACCAUGGCAAAAGCAACUUAUGGGAAGAAGGGUGUAGUUUGGUUCACAGUUCCAGGUUACAUUUUGCACUAGGGAGAAGGCACAGUGGCAGAAGCUUGAAGAACUUGGUCAUGUCAUGUCACAUCUAUAAUCUGGAGCAGAGAGCUAUGACUGGAUGAAUGCAUGUUGGUGCUCAGCUUGCCUGCUUUCUCAACUCUUACAGAGUUCAGAACCUCCUGUCUAUGGAAUGGUGCCACCCACGGUGGGCUGGUCUUCUCAUUUCAAUUAAUAUACUAAAGAUAACCCCUGUUGUACAUGCUUACAGGCAAACAUUAUCUAGACUAGAGUCUCUCACUGAGACUCCCUUUUCAGGUGACUCUAGAUGGUGUUGCAUUUAUGUGAGAGCUAACCACCACAUAAUGGAAGCCAUGCAGGCACCUUCUUGCUUCUCUCUCCUAUAUGCAUGUUUUCUUGAAUUUACACCUUUUGCUGUGACACAGCAAGGAAGUCCACAUCAGAUGUUGGUACCUUGGCACUGAACUUCCUAACAUCCAGAACUGUAAGGAAAGAUUUACGUCUUUAUAACUUAAUCAGCCUAAUGAAUUUUGUUACAAUAUUACAAAGUGGACUCAGACAGCCAUGUACUUAAAGACUCCACUGCUGUCUGUGUUACACAUGAAGUGUUCAUACAUGUAUAUUUGUCUAUUAUAUUCCAGUUUGUGGGUAUGCUUGCCCUAAUUAGAUGCAGUCUUAUAAUGUCUUGGUAUUUAGUAGCAUGUUCCCCUUCAUUAUUUCUUUUCUAAUUGUGUAACUUUUCUUUACAUGUUUUGCAUAGUAUUUAAGAAGGAUUAUUCAUUUCCACAAAAGUACAUUUGGAGUUUUGACUGGAAAUUAAAUCUGUAGACCUAUUAGUGAUACAGAGAACAUGUACAACAUGUGUUCUGACAUGUGGUCAUUUUAUGUCUCAACAUCUUCAAAGUUUUUUUAAAAACUUAUUUCAAUAAUGCACAUGUUUUUGCAUGGAUGAAUUGCACAUUUUAAGAAUCCUGUUUAAUCAUUUGUAUUAUUUUUCUGUUAGUGUAACAAACAAAUUUGGCAAAAUCUGGGGCUGGAGAGAUGGCUCAGCAGUUAAGAAUGCUUGCUGCUUUUGCAGAGGACCAGAGUUGGGUUCUCAGCACCCACAUGGGAUGCACCUGUAGCAACUCCAGCUCCAAAUAAUCUGAUGCCCUCUUUGCCUCUUAAAGUAUUGCAUGCAUGAGGGUGUACAUGCCUAUAAACAGGCAAACACUCAUACUCACAAAAUAAGGAUAAAUAAAAUAUUAAAAUAAACUAAAUCAACUCUAAUAGAGGAAAGGAUCAUUUGGUUCAUAGUUCUAAGAGUUUUCAGCCUGUAGCUAGGUUGCAUCCUUGCUUUGGGUACAAGGCAAGGAAAACUGUCCUGGCAGAGCCCACAUGGUGGAGCAGACUUCAUGCCAGAACGGAAGCUCAGAGAGGGAAGAAGAGGCUGGUGGUGAGGUUUAUCUUUCCAGGGCAUGCUUCAGUGACCCACUUCUUCCAAUUUGGCCUCAUAGUCUAAUGUUUCCAGCACUUCUUCUGUAACACUGUAUGUUUAUGAACCUACCAAUAGAUUGAUUAAUUGGUGAGGUCAGAGCCCCCUGGACCCAGUAGUGUUACCUUUCAACACUGCUGCACUGGAGAAUAAGCCCUCAACAGAUGGGAUACUGGGGAGACAUGUAACAUCCCAAUCAUUACAAUAAAAUGAUUAAUAUCA